AGUACAUCUUAAUCAUCCCUAUCUGGGAAGGCGAGUAAAACUAGAUGCGUAGCAUGGCUUGUGUCAUCCCUAUCUGGGAACUCUAGUAAAAAUCUUGUUAUCUCUAGCCAGGAAUUAAGCCCCAUGCCAUUCUCCAGAAUGUCAACAUCUGUUGCUAGGAAGUCUUUCUUCUCCUCUAUGAUGGGCUGUUUUGGGGAGGAAACGUCUUCCCUUUUCGACCCCACUGGUCCUGCCUUCCCAGCCUCAAUCAACUCCAGCUUGUCUGAAAUAGAACAAAUCCAAGGGCUUCCGAGCCAUACACUGAGCCUUGUAAAUUCACAGCUGUGGAGUUUGGUUCUGUCUGUGUGUCAAUCUGUGAAAAGGCGGCCUCCUUUGGAGAGCUGUGGACCGGUCCUACUACUAUUGGCAUCACUGACUGAGGAUUGACAACUAAAUUUGGAUUAUUAUUGUCCAUAUCAAAUGAUGAGUCCAUGACACUGUGAACUUUUGCCACAUCAUUCCAAUGUAUAGCUUGUAUCCAUUCGUCUAUGGAACCUGGUCCGGUGGCAUCUAAAUCAAAAGCACUGUUUGCAUGGUUGCUAUUGUCACUGUUGUUUAGAAACUCGGUGUUUGCGUUUGACAGAAUUUUCUCCAUUUCACUAUGGAUGUCGUGGGAGUCCAUAGACACGGUUUCUAGAAAAUCCAUUUCGGACGGAUUACAAUAUGCCAUGCUUAACAUCGUGUUUCUGACCGCAUCAACUUCAGGCUCAAAC